rnacentral:rRNA from 1 species
GACGAACGCUGGCGGCGUGCUUAACACAUGCAAGUCGAACGGAAAGGCCCUGCUUUUGUGGGGUGCUCGAGUGGCGAACGGGUGAGUAACACGUGAGUAACCUGCCCUUGACUUUGGGAUAACUUCAGGAAACUGGGGCUAAUACCGGAUAGGAGCUCCUGCUGCAUGGUGGGGGUUGGAAAGUUUCGGCGGUUGGGGAUGGACUCGCGGCUUAUCAGCUUGUUGGUGGGGUAGUGGCUUACCAAGGCUUUGACGGGUAGCCGGCCUGAGAGGGUGACCGGCCACAUUGGGACUGAGAUACGGCCCAGACUCCUACGGGAGGCAGCAGUGGGGAAUAUUGCACAAUGGGCGGAAGCCUGAUGCAGCAACGCCGCGUGCGGGAUGACGGCCUUCGGGUUGUAAACCGCUUUCGCCUGUGACGAAGCGUGAGUGACGGUAAUGGGUAAAGAAGCACCGGCUAACUACGUGCCAGCAGCCGCGGUGAUACGUAGGGUGCGAGCGUUGUCCGGAUUUAUUGGGCGUAAAGGGCUCGUAGGUGGUUGAUCGCGUCGGAAGUGUAAUCUUGGGGCUUAACCCUGAGCGUGCUUUCGAUACGGGUUGACUUGAGGAAGGUAGGGGAGAAUGGAAUUCCUGGUGGAGCGGUGGAAUGCGCAGAUAUCAGGAGGAACACCAGUGGCGAAGGCGGUUCUCUGGGCCUUUCCUGACGCUGAGGAGCGAAAGCGUGGGGAGCGAACAGGCUUAGAUACCCUGGUAGUCCACGCUGUAAACGGUGGGUACUAGGUGUGGGGUCCAUUCCACGGGUUCCGUGCCGUAGCUAACGCUUUAAGUACCCCGCCUGGGGAGUACGGCCGCAAGGCUAAAACUCAAAGGAAUUGACGGGGCCCCGCACAAGCGGCGGAGCAUGCGGAUUAAUUCGAUGCAACGCGUAGAACCUUACCUGGGUUUGACAUGGAUCGGGAGUGCUCAGAGAUGGGUGUGCCUCUUUUGGGGUCGGUUCACAGGUGGUGCAUGGCUGUCGUCAGCUCGUGUCGUGAGAUGUUGGGUUAAGUCCCGCAACGAGCGCAACCCUUGUUCACUGCUGCCAGCACGUUAUGGUGGGGACUCAGUGGAGACCGCCGGGGUCAACUCGGAGGAAGGUGGGGAUGACGUCAAGUCAUCAUGCCCUUUAUGUCCAGGGCUUCACGCAUGCUACAAUGGCUGGUACAGAGAGUGGCGAGCCUGUGAGGGUGAGCGAAUCUCGGAAAGCCGGUCUCAGUUCGGAUUGGGGUCUGCAACUCGACCUCAUGAAGUCGGAGUCGCUAGUAAUCGCAGAUCAGCAACGCUGCGGUGAAUAAAUUCCCGGG